GACGUACCUGGUCACGUGUGGGGAAGAUGGGGGGCCCAGCAGGGGGGCCGGAGUUAGGAAGCCCCGCCCCCCGUCCGCGCCACGAGCGCCCCGUGGGCGCCUGCGCUCUUUGCUGCCCCCUGCCGUGCUGGGCCAGCCCCGCCUGCUCGGGGUGGUGAGGCUGCAGACCCCAGCCCACCCCAAGUGCGUUACUCCAUCGUUAUGAAGCUGCACCCCUGUGUCCUUGGGCAAGUGACUGAACCUGUCUGUGUGUUGGGGGCUGCACCUGUAGGAGGAGGUGUCCGCCCCACAGGGUUGCCCAGAGCGUGGACUGCGUUUCCACACGCGAAGCGCGUGGCCUCGCGGGCCGCCAAAGAGUAAAGGCUCAUGGUAGUCGGGGGAGCUGCUGUCCGGGAGGAAGCAGGCAGCGAACACGAUGAUGGCGUUGAGACCCUCGCCGUAGUACCCUGGGGAGAGGCGGCCGGUCAAUCCGGUGUUCUUGUUCUCCGAUGAUCACCGUCCGCCAGAGGCGCCCGUUGGUGGCACCGCCGUCCUCCACUGCGCCGUCCCCGAACAGAUCUGCACUGUCACCGGGCAUGUUCUUCGCGGCGGCCACCGGGGUG